UGCAAUGCGAUGCGACAACACAGACAGAGACCAGCCCACGCUCUCAAGCAGUCAACACAGAGACAGCUAUAUGGAGGAGAAAAAUGACAGAUCUAUGAUCCAGCAAAGAUGGAAUAAUACAAUGAUGGCGAUGAUGAUAACCAUGAUGACAGCAACAUAAAUUAAAAAUAAAUCUCAGUGGUACAGUACAAGGGCAGAGUCAUAUCGUGGUAGUAGCAGCAGAAGAGAGAAGGGAGUAACAAGAAACAAAAGAAUCCGAGGCAUCAGGGCAAGAUCGUUCGUUCAAUCAUCAAACGUGGCUGGCUGAUGAGGAGUGGUGGUGGAGCCACGCAAAAGAAUCGACGAGGAAGACACAGCGCAAAAAAGCGGCGGCGACGGCGACGGCGACGGN
rnacentral:lncRNA from 1 species